GAACCCUGAAUAAGGGAGUGAAAUAGAACCUGAAACCAUACGCUUACAAGCGGUCGGAGCAGACUUGAUCUGUGACGGCGUGCCUUUUGCAUAAUGAUCCUACGAGUUACUCCUCAUUGGCAAGGUUAAGUCUUUAAGGGACGAAUCCGAAGCGAAAGCGAGUCUGAAUAGGGCGCUUUAGUUAGUAGUGGUAGACGCGAAACCGUGUGAUCUACCCAUGGGCAGGGUGAAGCUGUGGUAACACACAGUGGAGGCCCGAACCGAUAUACGUUGAAAAGUGUUCGGAUGACCUGUGGGUAGGGGUGAAAGGCCAAUCAAACUCGGAAAUAGCUCGUACUCCCCGAAAUGCAUUUAGGUGCAGCGUUCAGGUAGAGUAUUAUAGAGGUAGAGCUACUGAUAGGGCUAGGGGGCUUCACCGCCUACCAAACCCUGACAAACUCCGAAUGCUAUAAAAUGUUAAUCAGCAGUGAGGGCAUGGGUGCUAAGGUCCAUGUCCGAGAGGGAAAGAACCCAGAUCAUCAGCUAAGGCCCCCAAAUGUAUGUUAAGUUGAUCAAACGUUGUGCGAUUGCAUAGACAGCUAGGAUGUUGGCUUGGAAGCAGCCAUUCAUUUAAAGAGUGCGUAACAGCUCACUAGUCGAGCGAUCGUGCGUGGAUAAUAAUCGGGCAUUAAACAUACUGCCGAAGCUAUGACAUCGAAAGAUGGGUAGGGGAGCAUUCUAUAUGCGUUGAAUGUGAGGGGUGACCUUCGCUGGAGCGUAUAGAAAAGCAAAUGUAGGAAUAAGUAACGAUAAAGCAGGCGAGAAACCUGCUCACCAAUAGACUAAGGUUUCCUUGGCGACGCUAAUCGUCCAAGGGUUAGUCGGGACCUAACGCGAACCCGAGAGGGGUAGUGGAUGGAUAAUGGGUUAAUAUUCCCAUACUUGGUAUAACUGCGAUGGGGUGACGGAGUGAUGAAAGAACCGCGUACUGACGGAAU
rnacentral:rRNA from 1 species